CGCGCAUCCGGUCAGCUCUCUCAGACUUGACGAGCGAAGCAGUGAGAUCGGGUGGCUUCUCAACGACGGUGACUACUGAGGUAGCCCAAUUGGCUGAAGUUAAACCGUGGUCGGUUCAUGUCUGCUGGACAGUAUAAGCUGAUCAGACCAUGUUGGCUGGCCUGUGUUACAACCACUGUGUCCACAGUCCAGCCAGGAGAAAAGCUGAUGACACAAAUCAGUACAGCAAGGUGUACUACAAAAAAGUCCAGGAAUUGGAGCUUGUACUCAGUGAAGGUGGAGAAGGACUACAGUUACAUCGCAGACCUCCACAGUGCCAUCCUCCUCCGACUGUUGUUUACUACUGAGGAGCUGCCUAGAAGCAGAACCAGGAGACCUGAUGAUCCCCGUCAACAUGGGGAUCAGUCAGGUGUCCCUGCCCCAACUGUGUUGCUAAAUACAGCAAAACGUACAACAAAAAGUAAUAUGGUUGGUUUUGAAAUGUGGUAAUCAUGUCAGAGAGGUGAUUGUGAUAUAUUUAAUCAUCUCCACAGAAGCGAUACGAUGCUACGAGUAAAGUCUGAACCAUCUUCAUGAUCAGUCAAGAUACAUCUGGACACACCUUGUUUAAAAUUAUCUAUUUGUGAUGUAGGUUGUAGUUUUAGUUGUGUAUAUAUAAUAACAAUAAACAAGUGUUAUACCACA